GAUGAACGCUGGCGGCGUGCCUAAUACAUGCAAGUCGAACGGACAGACGAGGCGCUUGCUCCUCUCACGUUAGCGGCGGACGGGUGAAUAACACGUGGAUAACCUACCUAUCAGACUGGGAUAACUUCGAGAAACCGGAGCUAAUACCGGAUAAUAUAUUGAACCGCAUGGUUCAAUAGUGAGAGACGGUUUUGCUGUCACUUAUAGAUGGAUCCGCGCCGCAUUAGCUAGUUGGUACGGUAACGGCUUACCAAGGCGACGAUGCGUAGCCGACCUGAGAGGGUGAUAGGCCACACGGGAACGGAGACACGGUCAAGACUCCUACGGGAGGCAGCAGUAGGGAAUCGGACGCAAUGGGCGAAAGUCUGACGGAGCAACGCCGCGUGAGUGAUGAAGGUCUUCGGAGCGUAAAACUCGGUUAUUAGGGAAGAACAAAUGUGUAAGUAACUAUGCAGGUCUUGACGGUACCUAAUCAGAAAGCCACGGCUAACUACGUG
rnacentral:rRNA from 1 species